UACGUAGGGAGCAAGCGUUGUCCGGAAUCAUUGGGCGUAAAGCGCGCGUAGGCGGCCCGGUAAGUCCGCUGUAAAAGUCCAGGGCUCAACCCUGGAAAGCCGGUGGAUACUGUCGGGCUCGAGUCCGGAAGAGGAGUGUGGAAUUCCUGGUGUAGCGGUGAAAUGCGCAGAUAUCAGGAAGAACACCUAUGGCGAAGGCAGCACUCUGGGACGGUACUGACGGCUGAGACGCGAAAGCGUGGGGAGCGAACAGG
rnacentral:rRNA from 1 species